GAGAGAUGGCUGAGUGGUCGAAAGCAACGGUUUGCUAAAUCGUCGUACCGGAAACGGUACCGCGGGUUCGAAUCCCGCUCUCUCC
rnacentral:tRNA from 1 species